UUCAACAAGGAAACACACUCUCUAAUAAGAUUGAAAGCUUGAUAAAUCCAGAAAGGCAUAACUAGUGAGCGAAAUCAACCAAGAACCAGACUUUGAAGUUCCAAACCAAGAAGAAGAUGACCGACAACUCCAAGAAUCCAUCAACCUCUCCCUCCGCCGCCUUGAUAGCUUCAACAACAUUAUCGUUUCGUUCUGUAUGUUAAUGGUAGAGGCCGAGGAUAAUGAAGGAGCUAGCGGAUGAAAUAGAUGAGUCAAUGGUGCGAUGAGGCAAUGCGAGAAAAUAGAGACUUGGAUGAUGGUGAGCUGGAUUGUGAAGACGCUGUGAGAGUGUUGGAAAUUGGGGAAUGUUUGGACCUUCAUGUCAAGUGACCUUGCGGCAAAGGCUAUCAAAUGCUUUUGUCUGGACAGAAUUGCUGUUACAAGCUCAUUUCGAUUUGGCUCAGCAGUGGCUUCAAAACGUUCAUACCAUCAAUUAUUCAACAUUCAGUUCAUGGGAAUUGUUCAUACGCUCAUUUCGAUUUGUUCUUCUGGAAUUGUAGCGUUUUAUUUCCUUUUAGGUAACAUUCAGUUCCCAUCUAUGAAGAAGGGAUGUACCUGUUGUAUUUGUUUUAUGGAGAGAUUUUGCAGACUCAAAUUCU